UUUAAAGAGAGUUUGAUCCUGGCUCAGGACGAACGCUGGCGGCGUGCCUAAUACAUGCAAGUCGAACGAACGGAGGAAGAGCUUGCUCUUCCAAAGUUAGUGGCGGACGGGUGAGUAACACGUGGGCAACCUGCCUGUAAGUUGGGGAUAACUCCGGGAAACCGGGGCUAAUACCGAAUGAUAGAGUGUGGCGCAUGCCACGCUCUUGAAAGAUGGUUUCGGCUAUCGCUUACAGAUGGGCCCGCGGUGCAUUAGCUAGUUGGUAGGGUAAUGGCCUACCAAGGCAACGAUGCAUAGCCGACCUGAGAGGGUGAUCGGCCACACUGGGACUGAGACACGGCCCAGACUCCUACGGGAGGCAGCAGUAGGGAAUCUUCCGCAAUGGACGAAAGUCUG
rnacentral:rRNA from 1 species